rnacentral:lncRNA from 1 species
GAUCGCUGAGUCGAUCGUAGCUGAAGUAAGUGUCGUCCGCUGCAUUCUGUGAUUCGCUGAGUUUCAUGAGAAAAAUGAGAAGCAAUCGCUCAAGUCCAGUUGCGCCCGUCGCUGCUGAAGGCGCCGCUGCCAUGACCAUGGCACAGAUGGCAGAGAUGAUGCGUUCGUUGCAGGCAACUGUGGAGGCCUCGCGCAUCGAACAGGCGAGAAUGCAUGAGGACCUGGUCGCCUCUCGCGCCAGGAAUGAGGAGCUCAGCAAGGUGACUGAGGAGUUGCGUCAAGCUCUUCAGGAGCAGCAAGGGCGUUCUUCCACUGAAGAGGUUGUGCCAUCG